GCGGAACCGGCGCGGGCACCUGGGGAGAAAUGGAUGGAGAAGGGACCUGGCUGGAAAGCCUUUGCCCCGCUGCUCUGCUCCGCCCAUAAGAGGACCCCUGAAAUGUCCCGUGCAGUUUGUUCAAGUCCCCUGUGUGAUGAAAUGUGCCUCUCGCCUUACCCGUGUGAGAAUACCUGUGGUGUGGCAGCGAGUAUUUUGGUGAGCACCUGCAGUGUAGUGGUUUAUACUAAGGAAUACACACAAAUUACAGGCCUUUGAGCCCAGAAUGCAACUUGGGAGGUAUUUGACCUGUCCAAAGACGACUUGAUACCUCUAUAAUGUAACAGAAAAGGUCAGAAAAUAUUAAGCAAGUAGAAGUGUGGAGCAUAUUAAGCAAGAUGAACAUCUCGGGAAGCAGCUGUGGAAGCCCUAACUCUGCAGAUACAUCUAGUGACUUUAAGGACCUUUGGACAAAACUAAAAGAAUGUCAUGAUAGAGAAGUACAAGCUUUUAGGUUCCGGGGGUACAUGUGCAGAUUUGGUACAUGGAUAGAUUGCAUGUUGCUG
rnacentral:lncRNA from 1 species